rnacentral:piRNA from 1 species
UUAAUUUUCUAAACAUCAAUU